CGGAUCCGCCGGCCGCUGCAGAGUUUGAUCCUGGCUCAGAUUGAACGCUGGCGGCAGGCUUAACACAUGCAAGUCGAGCGGGGGAAGGUAGCUUGCUACUGGACCUAGCGGCGGACGGGUGAGUAAUGCUUAGGAAUCUGCCUAUUAGUGGGGGACAACAUCUCGAAAGGGAUGCUAAUACCGCAUACGUCCUACGGGAGAAAGCAGGGGAUCUUCGGACCUUGCGCUAAUAGAUGAGCCUAAGUCGGAUUAGCUAGUUGGUGGGGUAAAGGCCUACCAAGGCGACGAUCUGUAGCGGGUCUGAGAGGAUGAUCCGCCACACUGGGACUGAGACACGGCCCAGACUCCUACGGGAGGCAGCAGUGGGGAAUAUUGGACAAUGGGCGCAAGCCUGAUCCAGCCAUGCCGCGUGUGUGAAGAAGGCCUUAUGGUUGUAAAGCACUUUAAGCGAGGAGGAGGCUACUUUAGAUAAUACCUAGAGAUAGUGGACGUUACUCGCAGA
rnacentral:rRNA from 1 species